CCUACGGGAGGCAGCAGUGGGGAAUAUUGCACAAUGGGGGAAACCCUGAUGCAGCGACGCCGCGUGAGUGAAGAAGUAAUUCGUUAUGUAAAGCUCUAUCAGCAGGGAAGAAAAUGACGGUACCUGAGUAAGAAGCCCCGGCUAACUACGUGCCAGCAGCCGAGGUAAUACGUAGGGGGCAAGCGUUAUACGGAUUUACUGGGUGUAAAGGGAGCGUAGACGGCAGUGCAAGUCUGGAGUGAAAGGCGGGGGGUCAACCCCCGGACUGCUCUGGAAAAUGGACGGCUGGGGUGCAGGAGAGGUACGUGGAAUUCCUAGUGUAGCGGUGAAAUGCGUAGAUAUUAGGAGGAACACCAGUGGCGAAGGCGGCUUACUGGACUGUAACUGACGUUGAGGCUCGAAAGCGUGGGGAGCAAACAGGAUUAGAUACCCUUGUAGUC
rnacentral:rRNA from 1 species